CGUGCCUAGAGCGGUUCCUCUCCGUGGCGCCCUACCGCCUUCGGCGCGAAGGUGGCUGGUGCGUACCGUCCCGAACCCUAGGAGCCGAGAUCCCACCCGCAGGACCCCAAAACCCAAUGAUCCUGCAGCAGCCCUUGCAGCGAGGCCCCCAGGGAGGGGCCCAGCGCCUCCCGCGGGCCGCCUUGGGGGUGACUUGGGGCCUGGACGCCAGGUGCGUGUAGGGGACCAGGGUGGGCCUGACCAAGGGCCGCAGGAGCUUUGGCUGGGUGCUCAGGACUGGUCUGCAGGAUGAAUACGGGGUGGGGCGAAUCGGCGGGGCUUAGGCGUGAGCUGAGAUGGGACUGGGGCUGCGGCUGAGGGUCGAGACUUCCGAGGUACCCUGCUGGAUGGUCCAGGAGAGCGGGGACCGGCACCAGCUGAGACAGGAAUGGGCUUGGGGCUCCUGGCUGAUGCUGCAGGCUUAGGCGGGCAGAUCCUUGGGAAGGGGCCAAGAGGGUGGGGUGCACCAGGCUCUCUUUUUUUCCCAGCUCCCCUCUCCGAGGAGCUGUGCCCAUGAGCACCAAGCGGCGCCUGGAGGAGGAGCAGUGAGUUUGGGGGCAGGGAGGGACUCCCAACAAGAUCUCUGUCACCUCUGGUCCCCAACAGGCUGCCUCCUGUGUCAGUAUCCCAGCCUGCCUCUCUGCCAUCUCUCCCCAGGGAGCCUCUGCGCAAGCAGUUUCUGUCUGAGGAGAACAUGGCCACCCACUUCUCUCAACUCAGCCUGCACAAUGACCACCCCUACUGCAGCCCCCCCAUGACCUUCUCCCCAGCCCUGCCCCCACUCAGGAGCCCUUGCUCUGAGCUGCUUCUCUGGCGCUAUCCUGGCAGCCUCAUCCCUGAGGCCCUCCGUCUGCUGAGGCUGGGGGACACCCCCAGUCCCCCCUACCCUGCAACCCCAGCUGGGGACAUAAUGGAGCUCUGAGUGCUGGUGGACAGUGCCCCUCCCACCUUCCUUCUUCCCCACAACAGAAGAGACCAGCGACUCCCGCAAAGGGACAAGGUUCCUCCCUCUCCUGCAGAGUAGGCAUCUGGGCACCAAGACCUUCCCUCAACAGAGGACACUGAGCCCAACGGAGUUCUGGGAUGGGAGGGGUGGGAGCAUGGGAAGGGAGGCAUCCCACCCCCAAGAAGAACUGAAUAAAGAUUGCUGAGCAAAGGAA
rnacentral:lncRNA from 1 species